AGGCAGCAGUGAGGAAUAUUGGUCAAUGGACGAGAGUCUGAACCAGCCAAGUAGCGUGAAGGAUGACUGCCCUAUGGGUUGUAAACUUCUUUUAUAUGGGAAUAAAAUGUUCCACGUGUGGGAUUUUGUAUGUACCAUAUGAAUAAGGAUCGGCUAACUCCGUGCCAGCAGCCGCGGUAAUACGGAGGAUCCGAGCGUUAUCCGGAUUUAUUGGGUUUAAAGGGAGCGUAGGUGGAUUGUUAAGUCAGUUGUGAAAGUUUGCGGCUCAACCGUAAAAUUGCAGUUGAAACUGGCAGUCUUGAGUACAGUAGAGGUGGGCGGAAUUCGUGGUGUAGCGGUGAAAUGCUUAGAUAUCACGAAGAACUCCGAUUGCGAAGGCAGCUCACUGGACUGCAACUGACACUGAGGCUCGAAAGUGUGGGUAUCAAACAGGAUUAGAUACCCUGGUAGUCCACACAGUAAACGAUGAAUACUCGCUGUUUGCGAUAUACUGCAA
rnacentral:rRNA from 1 species